UACGAAGGGGGCUAGCGUUGUUCGGAAUUACUGGGCGUAAAGCGCGCGUAGGCGGUUUUCCAAGUCGGGCGUGAAAGCCCCGGGCUCAACCCGGGAAAUGCGCUCGAAACUUGAAGACUGGAGGCCGGAAGAGGGUAGUGGAAUUCCCAGUGUAGAGGUGAAAUUCGUAGAUAUUGGGAAGAACACCAGUGGCGAAGGCGGCUACCUGGUCCGGAUCUGACGCUGAGGCGCGAAAGCGUGGGGAGCAAAC
rnacentral:rRNA from 1 species